UACGUAGGGUCCGAGCGUUGUCCGGAAUUACUGGGCGUAAAGAGCUCGUAGGUGGUUUGUCGCGUUGUUCGUGAAAACUCACAGCUCAACUGUGGGCGUGCGGGCGAUACGGGCAGACUAGAGUACUGCAGGGGAGACUGGAAUUCCUGGUGUAGCGGUGGAAUGCGCAGAUAUCAGGAGGAACACCGGUGGCGAAGGCGGGUCUCUGGGCAGUAACUGACGCUGAGGAGCGAAAGCGUGGGGAGCGAACGGG
rnacentral:rRNA from 1 species